CUGGGCUCGAACGGCUUUUCAACGACGGUGGAAACAUCGUUAUCCCGCAAGGGAGUAGAGUCGAGGUGCUGCAUGGCUGUCGUCAGCUCGUGUCGUGAGAUGUUGGGUUAAGUCCCGCAACGAGCGCAACCCUUGUCCUGUGUUGCCACCAUUUAGUUGGGCACUCUCAGGAGACCGCCAGCGAUAAGUUGGAGGAAGGUGGGGAUGACGUCAAGUCAUCAUGGCCUUUAUGUCCAGGGCUACACACGUGCUACAAUGGGCGGUACAAAGCGCUGCAAACCCGCGAGGGGGAGCCAAUCGCAUAAAACCGUUCUCAGUUCGGAUCGCAGGCUGCAACUCGCCUGCGUGAAGCUGGAAUCGCUAGUAAUGGUAUAUCAGAAUGAUACCGUGAAUACGUUCC
rnacentral:rRNA from 1 species